rnacentral:rRNA from 1 species
GCCGGAAUUGCUAGUAAUGGCAGGUCAGCAUACUGCCGUGAAUACGUUCCCGGGCCUUGUACGCACCGCCCGUCACACCAUGAGAGUUGGGAAUACCCGAAGCCUGUGAGCUAACGUUAAGAGGCGGCAGUCGAAGGUAGAAUCAAUGAUUGGGGUGAAGUCGUAACAAGGUACC